GAUCAUGGCUCAGGAUGAACGCUAGCUACAGGCUUAACACAUGCAAGUCGAGGGGCAGCAUGAACUUAGCUUACUAAGUUUGAUGGCGACCGGCGCACGGGUGAGUAACACGUAUCCAACCUGCCGAUGACUCGGGGAUAGCCUUUCGAAAGAAAGAUUAAUACCCGAUGGCAUAAUUCUUCCGCAUGGUAGAACUAUUAAAGAAUUUCGGUCAUCGAUGGGGAUGCGUUCCAUUAGGUUG
rnacentral:rRNA from 1 species